rnacentral:rRNA from 1 species
AACGAACGCUGGCGGCAUGCCUAACACAUGCAAGUCGAACGAGACCUUCGGGUCUAGUGGCGCACGGGUGCGUAACGCGUGGGAACCUGCCCUUAGGUUCGGAAUAACUCCCCGAAAGGGGUGCUAAUACCGGAUAAUGUCUUCGGACCAAAGAUUUAUCGCCUUUGGAUGGGCCCGCGUUGGAUUAGCUAGUUGGUAGGGUAAAAGCCUACCAAGGCGACGAUCCAUAGCUGGUCUGAGAGGAUGAUCAGCCACACUGGGACUGAGACACGGCCCAGACUCCUACGGGAGGCAGCAGUGGGGAAUAUUGGACAGUGGGCAAAAGCCUGAUCCAGCAAUGCCGCGUGAGUGAUGAAGGCCUUAGGGUUGUAAAGCUCUUUUACCCGGGAUGAUAAUGACAGUACCGGGAGAAUAAGCUCCGGCUAACUCC